AGCGUUGUUCGGAAUUACUGGGCGUAAAGCGCACGUAGGCGGAAUGUUAAGUCAGAGGUGAAAUCCUGGAGCUCAACUCCAGAACUGCCUUUGAUACUGGCAAUCUAGAGUCCGGAAGAGGUGAGUGGAACUCCUAGUGUAG
rnacentral:rRNA from 1 species